GGUUCGAUUAUGGCUCAGAUUGAACGCUGGCGGGAUGCUUUACACAUGCAAGUCAGACGGCAGCGCGGACUUCGGUCUGGUGGCGAGUGGCGAACAGGUGAGUAAUGUAUCAGACGUCCUUGCCUAGUAGCGGGGAUAACUACGCGAAAGCGUAGCCGCCCUUCGGGGGAAAGCGGGGACCUUCGGGCCUCACUAUUAGAGCGGCCGAUAUCGGAUUAGCUAGUUGGUGGGGUAACGGCUCGCAAGGCGACGAUCCGUAGCUGGUUUGAGAGGACGACCAACCACACUGGAAUGAGACACGGCCCAGACUCCUACGGGAGGCAGCAGUGGGGAAUUUUUGGACAAUGGGGAAACCUGAUCCAGCCAUCCCGCGUGUGCGAUGAAGGCCUUCGGGUUGUAAAGCACUUUUGGCAGGAAAAGAAACGGCACAGGAUAAUACCCCGUGCAGCUGACAGUACCUGCAGAAUAAGCACCGGCUAACUACGUGCCAACAGCCGCGGUAAUACGUAAAGUGCAAGCGUUAAUCGGAAUUAUUACUGGGCGUAAAGCGUGCGCAGGCGGUUCGGAAGAAAGAUGUGAAAUCCCAGAGCUUAACUUUGAGACACAUUUUUAACUACCGAGCUAGAGUGUGUCAGGGGAGGUGGAAUUCCGCGUGUAGCAGUGAAAUGCGUAGAUAUGCGGAGAACACCGAUGGCGAAGGCAGCCUCCUGGGAUAACACUGACGCUCAUGCGAAAAGCAUUAAGGGUACAAACAGGAUUAGAUACCCUGGUAGUCCACGCCCUAAACGAUGUCAACUAGCUGUUGGGGCCUUCGGGCCUUGGUAUGCCAACUAACGCGUGAGUUGACCGCCUGGGAGGCACGGUCGCAAGAUUAAAGUAAAGGAAUUGACGGGGACCCACACAAGCGGUGGAUGAUGUGGAUUAAUUCGAUGCAACGCGAGAAAACCUUACCCUUGACAUGUCUGGAAUCCCGAAGAGAUUUGGGAGUGCUCGCAAGAGAACGGAACACAGGUGCUGCAUGGCUGUCGUCAGCUCGUGUCGUGAGAUGUUGAGUUAAGUCCCGCAACGAGCGCAACCCUUGUCAUUAGUUGCUACGAAGGGCACUCUAAUGAGACUGCCGGUGACAAACCGGAGGUGGUCCUCAUGGCCACUUAUGGGUAGGGCUUCACACGUCAUACAAUGGUCGGGACCCAGAGGGUCGCCAACCCGCGAGGGCCAAUCCCAAGAAACCCGAUCGUAGUCCGGAUCGCAGUCUGCAACUCGACUGCGUGAAGUCGGAAUCGCUAGUAAUCGCGGAUCAGCAUGUCGCGGUGAAUACAUUCCCGGGUCUUGUACACACCGCCCGUCACACCAUGGAGUGGGUUUUGCAGAAGAAGUAGUUAGCCUAACCGUAGGAGGGCGAUUACCACGGUAGGAUUCAUGACUGGGGCAAGUCGUAACAAGGUAA
rnacentral:rRNA from 1 species